AGUAAGUAUGUAUGUUAGGUUGAGAAUGACUGAGUUAAAUAAUAACUGAGUGGACUUUAUUUUAAUUUGCCAUUGUUCGUGAAGACAGUCAUUAGUUUUAAAUGUGAUUAGACAACCCUCCACAGAAGCCUUUGGGAACAAAAUUAAAUUUUGUAGAGACAGGGAGUCUCACUUUGUUACCCAGGCUGGUCUCAAAUUACUGGGCUCAAGCAAUCCUCCUGCUUCAGCCUCUCAAAGUGCCAGGAUUACAGGUAUGAGCCACCAAGUCCUACCAGAAUUUGCAUUUUGGAGUAUGCACCAUUAAACAGUUUAACUCUUCAGUUGAUCUCUUUUUAAAAAUCAAUUGUUCAGCAUCUGUGGAAUCUGAUUGUGAUGUGGUCAGGGACAGAAUGGGACUAAAAUGAGAAUAACCAUGCCAGACUCUUCAGGACACAACCUGGCUAUGGGAGGCUGAUUGUGUUUGCAUGGAGACACUAACUCCAAGUGGAUGGAUGACACCACUGGGACACUGUUGCUCAUGGACCACAGACAGUGGCGCUGGGACACCAAUGCUCAGACUAUAGAUGGUGGUGAUGGGACACCAUUGCUCAUGGACUGCAGACAGUGCUACGAGGACACCGAUGCUCAUGGACUACAGAUGCUGCUCUGAAGUGCUCUGCACUUUACUUUUCUCUAGUUCAUUUCCAAACGGGCCAAUUUCAAAAUUAUAAUUGAAAAGAGUAACUUGAAAACAGAUACUCCCAGCCAUGCCCUUGCCUCAAGACAUCUGCCGUCUCCCUGGCCUCUGAGGCAGGGUGGGAAGACACCGCCACCCCAUUCCAUAGGUGAAGAGCUCUUUCAUGGGGUACAUGCGCAUCCCACUCCUUGCUCGGCUCAGCACAAGCUCAGCAUUGCCAGAGAGAAAAACUGGAAGACAGAGACAAACAAAACAACAACUGGUAGGUGGGUGCUUGUGAUAAGUUAAAGAUAGGAAACCAGGGAACGCUGUGGGCUGCCACCCCAGGGGCUUGGUCGCCACCAAGAGUGAAGGAGGAACAACAGGGAGAGGAUAUGCACCAGAGUCCCCAUCGCCAGCCUAAGCAGGAGCACAGGAGCAACAGCGUUUGAUGCUUUCCUACAAGAGGCUGAAGAAGGAAACAAGUUGCUGAGGUUUUGAAGAAUCGUGGGUCGCAUUUCCUUGGAUCAGCUAAGCCCCGAACAGAUCCCUAAAGCAACUGGGCUUCUGGUCCUAUUUCACCUUCAAAGAGAAUCAAUCCUACCCUUCCAUCCUGAACAGUCUUCUAGGCUCAAGCACUCUGAAUUUUCCUAUCGUGGCUGGAGCUAUCGAUUUGGUGCUAGUCUCACUCUCUUUGUCAACCUCUCUUGUGCAUUUAUUAAUACAAACUUAUUAUUUUUUCCUAACUUAGUUUUUAACGUGAUUACAUUCACAGAUUUUUUAAAAGUUGAUCUGCUCUUGAAUUCCUGGUUUUAUUCUAUGUAAUUAUCAGUAUUUUUUUUCAGAAAUGGUCUCUUUUUAUUUGAAUGGUUGAUCUAGGACUCAGCCUAAAUAUUAUUCUAAUACGUAGCUGUACAUAACCAACAUGUCUAUGAUGUUAGUGAUGAACCAGAACCAACACAGAGAUGGUCUUUGCCUGAUAAAAGAUAAUCACAAUCCGAAAUAAAAUUACUAGGUAAAAUACAGGAUGCCUAGUUAAAUUUGAGUAUCAGAUAAACAAUGAAACAUUUUUAGUUACAUGUCCCAUGUAAUAUUUGUACUAAAUACUUAUACUAAAUUGUAAAGGACAUACUUAUACUAAAUUGUAAAGGACAUCCUUAUACUAAAGGAAAGCAUUGCUUAUCUGAAAUUCACAUUUAACUGGUUGUCCUAUAUUUUUAUUUGUUAAAUGUGGCAAUCUUAAUCAUAAACAAAUAAGCAAACAAGUAUAAGUCUUAGAAAAGAAUAAAUCAAUUUUUAAAUGAAUGCAUUUAGUGUUGUCAGGGAAUAAUUACAAUAUGUCAGCAAACCUUGGCAACCAUUGGAAUCCCGUUUCUGAAAAUUACAGUGUAGUGUGAAGUAGAAAAUAACAACGAUGGUUUUAACUCAUAUGAAACAUAGAAAAAAUUCAGAAACAAACUAGAUUUAUUGGUUUUAAGGAAAAGAAGCCAGAACAACUACCAGAAUACUGUUCUGUUAGGUAACUCUUCUUUUAACCACCUUCUUUAAUUACUCAGGAAAUAUUUCUGUGUUUUCCUCAACAACUGGAGUAGAUUUUCCCAUGAGUUUUAUGUUACACAAAGUUUAGUUAUUUUUAAAGUUAUCAAAUCAGCUCUUACUGGCUUGAAGUUAAGUAUCCAUGGAACUUGUAUUUCCUUUGUUUUCCUUUCAAAUGUCUCCCCAAAAUGCUUGUAACUGUGUAUCCU
rnacentral:lncRNA from 1 species